rnacentral:rRNA from 1 species
GGGCGCAGCCUGAUCCAGCCAUGCCGCGUGAGUGAAGAAGCCUUCGGGNUGUAAAGCUCUUUCGGCGGGGACGAAACGGUNCGUGACAACACCACGGACUAAUGACGGUACUCGCAGAAGAAGCACCGGCUAACUACGUGCCAGCAGCCGCGGUAAUACGUAGGGUGCAGGCGUUAAUCGGAAUUACUGGGCGUAAAGCGUGCGCAGGCGGCUCCUUAAGUCAGAUGUGAAAUCCCCGGGCUUAACCUGGGAACUGCGUUUGAAACUGGGGAGCUGGAGUGUGGAAGNNGGGGGUGGAAUUCCAGGUGUAGCAGUGAAAUGCGUAGAGAUCUGGAGGAACACCGAUGGCGAAGGCAGCCCCCUGGGCUAACACUGACGCUCAUGCACGAAAGCGUGGGGAGCAAACAGGAUUAGAUACCCUGGUAGUCCACGCCCUAAACGAUGUCAACUAGUUGUUAGGGAAGCAAUUCCUUGGUAACGAAGCUAACGCGUGAAGUUGACCGCCUGGGGAGUACGGCCGCAAGGUUAAAACUCAAAUGA